GUAUUGCCAAUGUCCCCUUGUGGAGCAAAACUGCUGAGCACCACUGGUCCAUGGGUGACGUGCUCGAAGCCCUGAUGCAGGUGGUGCAGCUGGGAUGCCAAUGGCUGAAGUCCAACCUAUUUGGGGCAGCUUCAGAGGCUUUCCUGGUCAAAUGGGGCAUUUGGAGAAAUUCUCAUCAUAAUUCAGCAAGUACUCAGGACACACCCAUAGUGUAAGCCGCACUGGCUCCUGCUUGUGCCUCUCACACUCAUCUGGAACAACAGGAGCCCUGGGCAGGAGCAUAGGAAGAGGGGACAAGAAUGCCCUUGCUUCUCUUCCUCAUUGUCUCUCUUCUCCUGCCCCAUGGCGACUCUACCCCCAUCUUGAGGUCUCCUAAAACUCCUGUGUCCCCCAUUACCCUUCUCCCAAGCCCCCGUCUACCCUUUGUCCUGCCCCCAAGUCUGAUCCAUCAUGUGCCUCUAUCCCUCGUCUCCGGCAGCCCUGCUUCCCAGCUACAAGCUUCUCAUUGCCUGAAGUGACCCGAGGCUGACCCAGCGCCCGCUAACCUGGCACAGGAGAACCCCUCAUUUUGGGAGCCAGGAUGUGCAGAGUCUGAGGACACCUUAGAAGUCAUCCAGGGCCACCUCCCACCAAGGACAGGAGCCCCAGGAUGCCUGACCCACUGGCUGCUGCCCAGGUUCAUCUUCUACCCCUAAAUGCUGCACGCCCGGCUGGCUCCCUCCCCUUGGUGCUGGAUCCUACGUGGUCUAGUUGUUUCCUGGGGUAUGGUUCCUCUCUCCACAGACUAGAAGCUCCUAGAGGCAGAGGCUGCAGCUUCCACGUCCCUGGGCCUGGCCUGGAGCUCAGGAGUGCUGAACCGUAGAUGGAACCCAGGGGAUUGCUCUCAAUGGGGCUUCGUUAUAUCUCCCGCACCCCAUUAUCCCACUGCUCUAAUUUCCACCCCACGCUCCAAAAGGAUCUUCUCAAAAUCCAGGGCCUGGGAUCCUCUCAUAGUGGUGGUCUUCCAGGAAAAAACCAUUUUGUCAUCACUCUCUGGUCUCAUCUCCCUCUAAGCACCACCUGCCUCAAAACUUGUCCAAGUCCCCGUGACUAACUGAAUAAAAUCCAAACUGAUCGCCCUGGCUGUCAGGACACGCUCUGUCUGGCCCCUCCGUCAUUUCCAG
rnacentral:lncRNA from 1 species